UUAGCUUAUGAUUUGUUGUGGGCCUUUCUUUAUUUUUUCCUUUUUUUAGACAUGGUAGCAUCUCUUGACUGCUUCCCUACACCAAGCAAGAGGCACAGGACCACCACAGACACUCCGCACAGAGCUGCAAGUCUUCUGCCUCCGAAUCUCCCUGCUCCCUCCUUUGCUAAAAUUGUUUUUAACUAAUUAUAUAAUAUUAAUAUUUAUUAUAUGUGAUAUUAAGUGUUAUAGAUAUGUUUUUACAAUAAAUUUAUUAAUAAAACCAGUUAAAGUUUCGCGAUCUUAUUUUUAAGGCUGUCAUAUCAUAAAAAUAAAAUGAAAUACAAAUAAAACUUUUAGAGUAUGUUCACUUGAGCUUAUUUGACGAAUCUGCUAGGUAUUCAACAGUCUCACAAUAAAUCAGCGAAAAGUAUUUCAGCUAUGACUUUUUAGCCAAGGGAAUGGACCUUUAAUAUAAAGUUUUAUUCUAUAGUUCUAGACAUUUAAUUUUGUAACUCAUAGAAUUGGUAAAUCGUGUUAAGAGAGUAGUUGGUAAUUCCGUGACUCAAAUAUAGGUUAACAUUCUUUCUAGGGCCUAGUAGAUGGAGAUACUCCCUACAUUUCAAAUUAGCACAUUUCAAGAAUAUGGAAGAGUUAAAGAAUUUCAAAUUUAACCAAAUUUAUAUAAUAAUAUUAAUUAACUAAAUAUCAUUAGAUUUUUUUAUUAAUUAUAUUUUUAUAGUGUAUCUAUUUGAUGUUGUAAAUCUGUAUAUUUUUUACUAUAAUUUUGAUCAAACUUAAGAUGCUUUAACUCUUAAAAAUUCUUUUUUGAAUGUCUUAAUUUGGAAUGGAGUGAGUAGUAUUAUAAUAAUUUUUUUUUGUUCCAUCGAGGCUCACCCGUUCUUUUAUGCUGCUCAGGAUAUGUUGUCACAUCAUCUUAUACAAUCCUAAACCCACGAUCCAAUCGUAAGAAAAAGUCCAGAAUUGUUUCUUAAGCAAUAAACAAGUUUCCAAUAUAGUACUAGGUACCAUAGAUAACCUCAAUUACUAUCAUAUACCCCUCCAGGAACCUGGCUUUUCUCCGUAAAGAAAAAAGGAAGCACCUUUGCCCUGUACUACGAAUCUACGGUGGACAGAUAAACAAAAGUUCAGGUCAUGUGGAACCUUGAGAUGUGCACCCCUGUGAACUGUGAGGGACCCACUAGGCAUUACGGUACGGGAAACGGGAU
rnacentral:lncRNA from 1 species